rnacentral:rRNA from 1 species
GGUUAAGCGACUAAGCGUACACGGUGGAUGCCCUGGCAGUCAGAGGCGAUGAAGGACGUGCUAAUCUGCGAAAAGCGCCGGUAAGGUGAUAUGAACCGUUAUAGCCGGCGAUGUCCGAAUGGGGAAACCCAGUGCAAUCCGUUGCACUAUCACAGCAUGA